AUUGAACGCUGGCGGCAGGCCUAACACAUGCAAGUCGAGCGGAGCCGCUGACGGGUGAGUAAUGCCUAGGAAUCUGCCUGGUAGUGGGGGAUAACGUCCGGACACGGGCGCUAAUACCGCAUCCUCUCAGAUGAGCCUAGGUCGGAUUAGCUAGUUGGUGGGGUAAAGGCAUACCAAGGCGACGAUCCGUAGCUGGUCUGAGAGGAUGAUCAGUCACACUGGAACUGAGACACGGUCCAGACUCCUACGGGAGGCAGCAGUGGGGAAUAUUGGACAAUGGGCGAAAGCCUGAUGCAGCCAUGCCGCGUGUGUGAAGAAGGGCUUCGGAUUGUAAAGCACUUUAAGUUGGGAGGCGUUACCCACAGAAUAAGCACCGGCUAACUCCGUGCCAGCAGCCGCGGUAAUUC
rnacentral:rRNA from 1 species